rnacentral:rRNA from 1 species
GCCCAUUAAAGUGGUACGCGAGCUGGGUUCAGAACGUCGUGAGACAGUUCGGUCCCUAUCCGUCGCAGGCGUAGGAAAUUUGAGAAGACCUGUCCUUAGUACGAGAGGACCGGGAUGGACGUACCUCUGGUGUACCAGUUGUUCUGCCAAGGGCAUGGCUGGGUAGCUAUGUACGGAAUGGAUAAGCGCUGAAAGCAUCUAAGCGCGAAGCCAACUUCAAGAUAAGAUUUCCCACCGCAAGGGUAAGACCCCAGAAAGACUAUCUGGUUGAUAGGUCGAAGGUGUAAGUGCAGCAAUGUAUUUAGCUUAUCGAUACUAAUAGGUCGAGGACUUGACCAAU